AUUGAACGCUGGCGGCAGGCCUAACACAUGCAAGUCGAGCGGAUGAAGGGAGCUUGCUCCUGGAUUCAGCGGCGGACGGGUGAGUAAUGCCUAGGAAUCUGCCUGGUAGUGGGGGAUAACGUCCGGAAACGGGCGCUAAUACCGCAUACGUCCUGCGGGAGAAAGUGGGGGAUCUUCGGACCUCACGCUAUCAGAUGAGCCUAGGUCGGAUUAGCUAGUUGGUGGGGUAAGGGCCUACCAAGGCGACGAUCCGUAACUGGUCUGAGAGGAUGAUCAGUCACACUGGAACUGAGACACGGUCCAGACUCCUACGGGAGGCAGCAGUGGGGAAUAUUGGACAAUGGGCGAAAGCCUGAUCCAGCCAUGCCGCGUGUGUGAAGAAGGUCUUCGGAUUGUAAAGCACUUUAAGUUGGGAGGAAGGGCAGUAAGUUAAUACCUUGCUGUUUUGACGUUACCAACAGAAUAAGCACCGGCUAACUUCGUG
rnacentral:rRNA from 1 species